GACAGAGGGUGCAAACGUUGUUCGGAAUUACUGGGCGUAAAGCGCGUGUAGGCGGUCUCGCAAGUCGGAUGUGAAAGCCCAGGGCUCAACCCUGGAAGUGCACUCGAUACUGCGAGGCUAGAGUCCCGGAGAGGAUGGUGGAACUCUCGGUGUAGAGGUGAAAUUCGUAGACAUCGAGAAGAACACCGGUGGCGAAGGCGGCCAUCUGGACGGUGACUGACGCUGAGACGCGAAAGCGUGGGGAGCAAACAGG
rnacentral:rRNA from 1 species